rnacentral:rRNA from 1 species
GAUUACUCAAGAUAUACAUGGGUCUUCUUCCUCAAGUUCAAGGACGAUACAAAGAUCACCUCCAUUGAUUUUUCCAAGCAAGCACAAUGCAAGUUUGACAAAGAAAUCUUGGCAAUAAUAAGUGAUAAUGGCUCUGAGUUCAAGAACUACACUUUGGAAGAAUUUCUUAGUGAUGAAGGGAUUGAGCAUCAAUAUUCAGCUCCAUACACUCCUCAACAAAAUGGUGUAGCAGAAAGGAAGAACCACACACUUGUGGAGAUGGCAAGGUCCAUGUUGGAUGAAUACAAGUCGCCACAUAGUUUUUGGGCCGAGGCUAUCAACACCGCAUGCCAUGCAUCAAACCGGCUCUUCCUCCGCACUAUAUUGAAAAAGACUCCAUAUGAGCUC